UUCAAAUAGUGUUUUCAGCAAACUUUUCUAGAAGAUGGUCUACUUUUCCUGUUUCCUGACCAUUUGGGGAGCUAAAGGACAAGGCAAGAGGCUCAAAAAAGGGAGUAAAGAUGGUUUAUAAGCAAAGUGACUUGGAUUGAAAGCCAGACGCGACCACUUACUAGCUGUGUGACCUUGGAAAGUUUACCUCCCUGAGGCUGAAUAGCAUCUGGAACCCAGAGAAAAACAAUGCUUCCCUCAUAAAGUUUUUGUGAGGAUUAAAUGACAUGCAAAACAUCCAAUACACACGGUAGGCACUCAAUAUAUGGCAGCUGUUCUUGUUGCUGCUGUUAGAAGCUGGAAGUAGAACAGUGCCUGGCUUCCCUUCUCAUUUCACCAGAUUGCCUGGCUCAGCAGCAUGCAGGGGAUACUAACUUCAUGAGCACAGAGCCAGUGUAUAACACACACACAUAGCAACAAAUCACAUUGGAAAACCAAUCUCCCUCAGCUAACAAAACAACUGCUUCCCAGGCUCCUGCAUUUGCUCUGUUAGAGGAACUGAACAGGUCCUAAUGGCUACAAAACCAAAUCACCUAGAAGAGGGUGAAUUUCAUCAGCAUUAGAGUUUCUGCUGAAAGCCUGGUACCAUGGGAGAGUGCAUGCAAAGCCAUCCCUUUUAUGGGAGGCUAAGAAAAAAAAAAACCUCAUAGAUCAUAACAGCAUCUAUUAGAGGUGUUUAUGUUAAGUGGCUUGUCUUCUUCACACUCUUUCAGGUGACAAACAUUUACUGAGCAUACAUUAUACACCACAUGCCAUAUUACAGGCUGGAGCACAAAGAUGAAGAGGCAUGGUCCCCUCCCUCUAGAACCCUCGUGGGUAAGACAGACGAGUCUACCAGUUCAUAUGGUGUGUGCUUGACACAGAGGAAAAGGCCCCUGAAAAGCAAACCUCCAAGGAAAACACUUCAUCACUCCUUAAUGACAGAUGACCUCAAAACAGCUUCUGAAAAGAUUAACAUCUGUGAGCAGCUGAAUAGCGAACAUCACAAAGAAAGGAAGGUUUACCCAUUAACUUGCUUCUUAAGUAGUAAGGCUCAAGAGAUGUUUACUGGGGGCUCCUCUUCCACCAACCUUUUAUUGGUGUGCAAACAUUAACCUUUUUAUUACAAAAUUUUCAAACAUGCAAAAGAGAGAGAACAUUAAAAUGAAUUUCCAUGUAACCACCAUCCAGCUUUAAUAAUUACUCAUUUAAGGUGAUACUCCCAGCCGCUCUCCACCUCUCCAUGCAAAAUUUCGAAGUCAACC